rnacentral:sRNA from 1 species
CACCAGCCUAGUUUUAGCGGGCGAAAAGCCGGCCCCUUCACCGGCCUGACUGGUGCCCCAACAAUUGAAGG